UCGUCAGCUCGUGCCGUGAGGUGUCAGGUUAAGUCCUAUCACGAGCGCAACCCUUGUCAUUAGUUACCAGCAUGUAGCGGUGGGGACUAUAAAGAUACUGCCGGCGUAAGCCGCGAGGAAGGGGGGGAUGACGUCAAAUCAGCACGGCCCUUACGUCCGGGGCGACACACGUGCUACAAUGGCCAUUACAGAGGGCAGUUACCUGGUGACAGGAUACGAAUCUCUAAAGGUGGUCUUAGUACGGAUUGGAGUCUGCAACUCGACUCCAUGAAGUUGGAUUCGCUAGUAAUCGCAGAUCAGCCAUGCUGCGGUGAAUACGUUCCCGGGCCUUGUACACACCGCCCGUCAAGCCAUGGGAGUUGGUGGUACCUAAAGAGCGUAACCGCGGGGAGCGUUUAAGGGCUAAUGCAGUGAAUAACUGGGGCUAAGUCGUAACAAGGUAGCCGUA
rnacentral:rRNA from 1 species